ensembl:lncRNA
GCGCAUGCGCGGUGCCUAGGAUUGUGAUGUUUCGGGAGCCCGGCGGUGUGGCCGAGCUUCCCCACCCUCAACCCGGAGACCCCUUUAUUUUUGUACAUGGGCGGGCGCUUUAUGGGGUCCCCGAAACUCCUGUCUAGCUCUGCAGCACUAAGCCAGGCGUGGGGGCCCCACGGGCUUCGCGCUCGCUCUGGGGGGGGGGGGGGGGCCGCACCCGGGUCUUUCCCUCGGACCGACGUACGCCCGGCUUUUCCACCUCGGGACGAGGCCCUCAGAACAAUGCUCGUCUCCACGCUCGGAGCAGUUCGAUAGGCAAGCGAGUCGGGUCGGGAGGAGCAGGGCUCUCCAAGGUGGCCUCCCUCGCUGUCUCCUAACGCGGGCCGGCCGCCAAGCUUACUCGCUCAGUUUCUCCGGCAUUACAACCUCUAUCAUCAUCUGGAUCCAGAGGCCUAUGCCCAGCGCCAUCCAGCCACUUCACUAAUGAGCAAGUCCGAUACACUUUGGGACAUCUUUCACUUUGAAAACUCCAUGGUAGAAAAUUUAGAAAGUAUGCAAUUGUUAUAGAAAUAUCCAUGAAUUCAUUGAAAAGCAACUACUGGGGAUCAAAGCCAUCAACACAAAAAGAUUUAGAAGAGUCACACAGCUCAUAGUGUCUGAGGGCAGAUUUGCACUCCGGGCCUCUUGAUUCCAGGCUGAUAUUCUAUCCAUAUAUGCAUUAUCUAGUUGUCUCAGUAAAGAAGUUUCAAG